rnacentral:rRNA from 1 species
UACGUAGGUGGCAAGCGUUGUCCGGAUUUACUGGGCGUAAAGAGCGCGCAGGCGGUCGUUCAAGUCGCGUGUGAAAGCCCCCGGCUCAACUGGGGAGGGUCACGCGAUACUGAUCGACUCGAAGGCAGGAGAGGGUAGUGGAAUUCCCGGUGUAGUGGUGAAAUGCGUAGAUAUCGGGAGGAACACCAGUGGCGAAGGCGACUACCUGGCCUGUUCUUGACGCUGAGGCGCGAAAGUGCGGGGAUCAAACAGG